GAAGAAGGACCGGUUACUAUUGGAUGAUCCGGACUGUGUUGAAUGUCACCUGUCAAAGAGCAUGUGUUGAAUGAGGAGCAGAGCGUUUGUGCCCCUGCUGAAGGAGUUAAGGAGAGGAGAUCAACAUGACAGAUUCUGAUGGUGAUCCUGAAGAAAGUGAUUCUGAUGAUGAUGAUACUCUUGCUGGAGCUGCAGGAGACUCCAGUAAUGCUGGU